rnacentral:tRNA from 1 species
GGAAGUGUGCCCGAAAAUAAGGAACUCCUUGAUAGGGAGGACCAUGUGGGUUUAACUCCCUCCACUUCC